rnacentral:rRNA from 1 species
GAGUUUGAUCAUGGCUCAGGAUGAACGCCGGCGGUGUGCCUAAUACAUGCAAGUCGUACGCACUGGCCCAACUGAUUGAUGGUGCUUGCACCUGAUUGACGAUGGAUCACCAGUGAGUGGCGACGGGUGAGUAACACGUAGGUAACCUGCCCCGGAGCGGGGGAUAACAUUUGGAAACAGAUGCUAAUACCGCAUAACAACAAAGGCCACAUGGCUUUUGUUUGAAAGAUGGCUUUGGCCAUCACUCUGGGAUGGACCUGCGGUGCAUUAGCUAGUUGGUAAGGUAACGGCUUACCAAGGCGAUGAUGCAUAGCCGAGUUGAGAGACUGAUCGGCCACAAUGGAACUGAGACACGGUCCAUACUCCUACGGGAGGCAGCAGUAGGGAAUCUUCACAAUGGGCGCAAGCCUGAUGGAGCAACACCGCGUGAGUGAAGAAGGGUUUCGGCUCGUAAAGCUCUGUUGUUGGAGAAGAACGUGCGUGAG